rnacentral:rRNA from 1 species
AUUGAACGCUGGCGGCAGGCCUAACACAUGCAAGUCGAGCGGCAGCGGGAAAGUAGCUUGCUACUUUUGCCGGCGAGCGGCGGACGGGUGAGUAAUGCCUGGGAAAUUGCCCAGUCGAGGGGGAUAACAGUUGGAAACGACUGCUAAUACCGCAUACGCCCUACGGGGGAAGGCAGGGGACCUUCGGGCCUUGCGCGAUUGGAUAUGCCCAGGUGGGAUUAGCUAGUUGGUGAGGUAAUGGCUCACCAAGGCGACGAUCCCUAGCUGGUCGGAGAGGAUGAUCAGCCACACUGGAACUGAGACACGGUCCAGACUCCUACGGGAGGCAGCAGUGGGGAAUAUUGGACAAUGGGCGCAAGCCUGAUCCAGCCAUGCCGCGUGUGUGAAGAAGGCCUUCGGGUUGUAAAGCACUUUCAGUAGGGAGGAAGAGUUGAGUGUUAAUAGUACUCAGCUUUGACGUUACCUACAGAAGAAGCACCGGCUAACUCUGUGCCAGCCGCCGCGGUAAAAC